UACAGAGGGUGCAAGCGUUAAUCGGAAUUACUGGGCGUAAAGCGUGCGUAGACGGUUAUUUAAGUCGGGUGUGAAAGCCCCGGGCUCAACCUGGGAAUUGCAUUCGAGACUGAAUAGCUAGGGUGCGGUAGAGGGAAGCGGAAUUUCCGGUGUAGCGGUGAAAUGCGUAGAUAUUCGGAAGAACACCAGUGGCGAAGGCGACUCACUGGACAUGUAUUGACGCUGAGGUACGAAAGCGUGGGGAGCAAACAGG
rnacentral:rRNA from 1 species